GACGAACGCUGGCGGCGUGCUUAACACAUGCAAGUCGAACGGUGACCCAGGGCUUGCCCUGGUGAUCAGUGGCGAACGGGUGAGUAACACGUGGGCAACCUGCCCCUGACUUCGGGAUAACUCCUCGAAAGAGGAGCUAAUACCGGAUACGACCACUUCGGACAUCCGAUGGUGGUGGAAAGUUUUUCGGUCAGGGAUGGGCCCGCGGCCUAUCAGCUAGUUGGUGGGGUAAUGGCCUACCAAGGCGACGACGGGUAGCCGGCCUGAGAGGGCGACCGGCCACACUGGGACUGAGACACGGCCCAGACUCCUACGGGAGGCAGCAGUGGGGAAUAUUGCGCAAUGGGCAAGGCCUGACGCAGCGACGCCGCGUGAGGGAUGAAGGCCUCGGUGUAACCGUACUUCUAGCAGGACGAAG
rnacentral:rRNA from 1 species